GAUGAACGCUAGCGGCAGGCUUAAUACAUGCAAGUCGAGGGACAGCACAGGUAGCAAUACUGGGUGGUAACCGGCAAACGGGUGCGGAACACGUACACAACCUUCCUUUAAGUGGGGGAUAGCCCAGAGAAAUUUGGAUUAAUACCCCGUAAUAUAGUUGAAUGGCAUCAUUUGAUUAUUAUAGCUACGGCGCUUAAUGAUGGGUGUGCGGCUGAUUAGAUAGUUGGCGGGGUAACGGCCCACCAAGUCUACGAUCAGUAGCUGAUGUGAGAGCAUGAUCAGCCACACGGGCUCUGAGACACGGGCCCGACUCCUACGGGAGGCAGCAGUAAGGAAUAUUGGUCAAUGGACGCAAGUCUGAACCAGCCAUGCCGCGUGAAGGAUUAAGGUCCUCUGGAUUGUAAACUUCUUUUAUUUGGGACGAAAAAGGGUCUUUCUAGACCAACUGACGGUACCAGAUGAAUAAGCACCGGCUAACUCCGUGCCAGCCGCCGCAGUAAAAC
rnacentral:rRNA from 1 species